UCCCUGGUAGUAUAUCGGUUUAGUACACGCGCCUGUCACUACACCUUUGUGUAACGCUUUGACGCGCGAAAGCUGGGUUCGACUCCCAGCCAGGGAG